GAACGCGAAAGCCCCGCAAGGGGUAAGUAGAGUGGCAAACGGGUGAGUAACACGUGGGUGACCUGCCUUCGAGCGGGGGAUAACGUCCCGAAAGGAUCGCUAAUACCGCAUAACAUCCCGCCUUUGAACAGGCGGAAAUCAAAGCUGGGGAUCGCAAGACCUAGCGCUCGAAGAGGGGCCCGCGCCUGAUUAGCUAGUUGGUGGGGUAACGGCUCACCAAGGCAACGAUCAGUAUCCGGCCUGAGAGGGCGGACGGACACACUGGGACUGAGACACGGCCCAGACUCCUACGGGAGGCAGCAGUGGGGAAUUGUUCGCAAUGGGCGCAAGCCUGACGACGCAACGCCGCGUGGAGGAUGAAGAUCUUCGGGUCGUAAACUCCUUUCGAUCGAGACGAAUUCCUCCGGGGUGAAUAAUCCCGGGNGGUUGACGGUACCGAGAGAAGAAGCCCCGGCUAACUCCGUG
rnacentral:rRNA from 1 species